CGCACAGUGCCCGCGCGCUGCAUGCUCGUAACUACACCCUUUUCCUGUUGGUACACAUGGUACAGUGACAAAGAGAAUCAGCCCGAGGAACUGACUCGAUUGGUUCCCGAUCUGCACCACGAAGUGACAAUAAUCACAGCACGGUUCCAGCUCACUUCGGUCUUCCACUGCAGAACGGUCGUUGCGGCAGAAUAAUGACCGGCGUGCGGGCAAGCGGGGAAGCAAGCGAGAGAGCCGCUCCAGAGGGUUAACAGAGGUUCUCACCAGCAUUGUCAACUUCUCACAAGCCUUGACUACAGUCUCUACCUGCCUACAGCCGCCAUCCCAGUGCCAAGUCCUCAGUAGCAUGUACAUGCGAUGACUUCCGCCCUGUGGCAAUACCUCUGAUAGUCAUGAAGUGCUCUGUGAGCCUGAUGCAAGCUCACAUCAAGGCCAACAUUCCACUAGCCCUGGACAAACAUCAGUAUGUGUCCAGCGAAAACAGAUCCACUGAAGGUGCCAUCUCAUCUGCUCUCUCCAACAUUUUUGCACACACAGACCACCAUAACACCUAUGUAUGUAUUUAAGAACAUAAUUUCCUAACAGCUGGUAUCCAGACUCGAUGACCUUGGCCUGAACACACCACACUUCAACUCUGUUCUGGAUUUCUUUUAUCAACAAACCACAAGCCGUCAGACUGGCCAUGAGAUUCUCUGCCGUCUUAAUGCUCAGCACAGAAGCCCUGCAGGACUGCACACUGAGCUCCGUGCUCUAUCCGCUGUUCACUCAUGACUGCAAUCCUGCCUCAGUUUCAACCACCAUCAUCAUGUUUGCAGACGGCACAACAGCAUACAGUGGCUGGCUGGUGCUCAGCAAAUAACAAGGCUCUCAACACCAAAAGCACCAAGGAAAAUCCAAAUGUGUCACAUCUCCAAACCCACAUAAACGACAGUGCAGUUGAGAGAGUCUCCAGCUUCUUACACAUCACUGAAGACCUCUCACAAUCUCACUCCUCUUCUCUAGCUUAGCUUCUGUGUCUGAGAUCGGAAGGCCACGGGUUCAAGCCCUGGCCUCGGCAGAAUAGUCACAUGUCCGUGGGGACCUGAGCGAGGCACAGCUACAGGGGUGCUACACACUGGCUAACACUGCACUGUGACCCCCAAGCAUGGUUGUAUAUGCGUCUCUGUGUCUCAGCGAGAGGAAGAUGGGGUAGGUGAAAAGAGAAUUUCCCCAUGGGGAUUAAUGAAGUAUCACUAUUCUAAACUGUCUUUUAUUCCCGAGGAGGUUAGGGUUAGGUUUAGGGUUAGGUUUAGGGUUAGGAGCCCAUCUGCUACGACAACUCCUGAAUUUCUGUCGGUUCACGGCAGAGAGCGUCUUCACACGCUGCAUUACAGCCUGGUACUCCAGCUGUUCCUCCGCGAACUGGAAAGCCCUGCCGCGGAUCGUCAAGGCAGCCGAACACAUCACUGGACUACAGAUGCUAGACAUGGAGGGCAUCUAUAACCAUCGCUGACUUCGGAAGGCCCUCAAGAUCACCUCUGACCUAACUCACCCUGGAUCUGCUCCGUUCAGUCAUUUUCCAUUAAGAUAAAGAUACACGGCUAUACAGACCCUCUCCUCAGAGCUACUGCCAGGCUAAACUUCACCUGCCACCGUUAGG